rnacentral:lncRNA from 1 species
ACACAAACACACACACACACACAUUGCUGGAAUUGUGUGUGUGUGUGUGUGUGUGUGUGUCCCCCCCCCCACACACACACACACACACACACACACACACACACACACACACACACACACACACACACACACACACACAUACUGCUGGAAUUGUGUGUGUGUGUGUGUGUGUGUGUGUGUGUGUGUAUGUGUAUAUAUAUAUAUAUAAACACACACACACAUUGCACAAGCCUUAUUCAACCAGCUAGUAUAAUCGCAGUCCACAUGAUUAACAGUAACUUGCCUCAGGCAUAAUAUGACACCGGCGUCUGCAUUCGUCAUCAGGACACCGAGCGUUCCACAUCAACCGUGAUGCAAUAAAUAUCGGACGAAAGCCAGAGGAUCCGGAAAAGCCAGAUAAGCGAAUCGUUUCCGAAUUAGAUUGUGGCAGUAGGAGGUGUGGUCGUGGUGCGGUUUGGAGGUCUGCCCGGUUUGCCACCCCGUCGUGGGUCUCCCCUUCCGUCGCAUCCUCUCACUACUGGCUUCAUGCAUCGAACGACCCUGGGUGGUGGUGCUUCAUGUGGGCGCAUCCCCACGCACAUUCACUCAUUUUGUGACCGUGGUGAUCGGUGUCUCGUUGUGGUUCCCAAACCAUUAAACUGAGAUGGAGUGCUGGAAGACCAAAGACUCUCAGCAACAUUCCCUGAGCCUGCUUGAAGGCUUGUUGAGAUUCUCACAGGAUGGAGGUAAAAAUUGCUUGCCCACCAACCAAUCGGAGAAAGACUACUAUUUGUCUACAAAAGUAACACAAAGCCAAGGCACCCAGACAGAUUUGACUUCUGAGCCUACAGAUGUUGAGUCAAAGGUCAAAGGCUCUCACACCUUUCCGAAGCCCAGAGGGUGUCAGCUGGCUUUGUGCAGUCCCUACGGACCUUUCGGAACAUGCCGUAGACAUCAAAUGGACAAGAACAUCCUGGCGGAGCGAUGCAAUGAUCUUGAAGCUGAACGCGCAGAGCUGAAAGCAGAGAACUCGCGCUUGCAGCUGGAACUGGUGAUAUCUGAAGCACAAUACGACUCGCUGCGUGUCCGGCACGAGACGAUGCGAGAACAGACUCUUGCCUUCCUCCUGCAGCAGAUGGACACAUUUCACAUUCAACGGGACUCACUCGUCUGAAGUUUUCGAUGCAACGUCUGGGAGAUUCACUUUGUCCGUAUUUCAGAAAAACAUAAAAACCGCUACGUGAGUAAACAUUGGAGGCUAAAACCUUCAACACGAAUAUAUUUAUUACAUUUUUCAAUGUGACAAGUAUGGAAAACAAGUUGGAAUUCUUGUGAUUUGCACAUUAGUAAUGCUGUAACAAAUUUCAUUGUGCAUGCCAAAUUUACUCCGCUGGUAAAAUCGGUGCAUUUACAACGUGAAUUGAAGUAAGAUUAUUGUUUCAAAAGGUUGGAGAAAAUGUACUUUUUUUGAUUGAUACUUCUCCUUCCAUUUCAAAAUGCAGACGACUAUGUUGGAAAGAUAAAUUCAAAUGCUCAAUUGAUGUGUUCAACAGACCAUUUUUUCAAUAAAUAUCAAUGUCAAACAAGAUUUGCAACAUUAACGUGCCGAAGGAAGGGAGUACUGUUUUUACUCUUUGUUUGUUUGUUUGUCUGGGCGAUAUAUCAGCCAUCGUUUGAGUGAGGAAGCUGAAAUUUGGAGAUAAAAGUGAAGAUGUGCUUUGUCAAAAACAGUAUUUUUAUUUUUUGAUUCAUAAAUUCAUUGUUUAAUUACUUAAUUAUUAUCGAUUUAUUAAUUCCUUAUUUAUUUUCUUUCUCAUCCGGGCAAUAAUCUCGGGCACCCUUUGAGCUUGGAAACUGAUAUUUGGACACGACAGUGACCAAGUGAUUUGGCUAUAAAGGGUGUUUUUGAUGAAUCAAUUAAUUAUUCAUUUUUCGAUUAAUUAUUUAAUUUUCAGGAGCCAAUUUUUCCAAAACUUACAGAUUCGGAUGAAACGGUGGCGGUUUCGGUAUACUAUUCGGCAAUUGAUUGAGAAAUCAAUUAUUUUAUGAUUAUCAUUUAUUUAUUUUAAUUAUACAAUUAAUUAUUGUACACCGCUCCCUCCCAAUUCCAUCUCCAUGUGCUGCAUGUCAGCAUUGCCAGGCACCCCGGAAAUGUUGCGUGCUGGAGGAUUGUUAUUUAUUUAUUUGACGGGGGUGGUGUACUUUGAAUGUAUCUCUACUUGUGUAGUUUAUGUCUAACAAGACAAAGUAUAAUUAACAUUAUUAAAGGAAAUAGUGUACAGAAAUCUGUAGUACACACAGGAAUUAUCGAGCGAGAACGAGUUUGCAUCCUCUCAGUUGGCCCCAAACAAGCAUGCACAGACUUUCAUAAAAACCAAGAAGCAACAAUGAAACUGACAGCACGUGUCCUUUGAAAAGAGUCGGUGAGCUUGCGCCGGCACCCGAUCUUAAUGACAAAUUCCUUUUGUAACCUACAGGGGGCACUGCAUCAGUGGCAUCACUGCCCCUACCAGAACAGAUGGUUUAAGGGAAGGAGGCAGGGUUAUGAGCAAAGGCGGGCGGUCAGUAAGAAUGAUCUGAAUGUGGUGUGAAGGAAGUACAAGAAUAUGUUUUUUCAAAAGCUCAUCUCAUUUGCAAUGUAUUCCUGGUUUGGGAAGUGGUUUCUAAUAAUCCUGGAGAACUCCUUGAAGGAUUCCAUCAUAGCCAUCGUCAUGCUGGCUCUUUCACCCGGCACCGAGUGACCAAAAUUGAACUGGGUUAGCCUUCUCAAACUAGCGAUGAAUCCUUUGCUUUUGGCAGAGAAAGAAUGUUAAAAAAAAC